rnacentral:rRNA from 1 species
UACGGAGGGUGCAAGCGUUAUCCGGAUUCACUGGGUUUAAAGGGUGCGUAGGUGGGCAGGUAAGUCAGUGGUGAAAUCUCCGAGCUUAACUCGGAAACUGCCGUUGAUACUAUUUGUCUUGAAUAUUGUGGAGGUAAGCGGAAUAUGUCAUGUAGCGGUGAAAUGCUUAGAUAUGACAUAGAACACCAAUUGCGAAGGCAGCUUACUACACAACGAUUGACGCUGAGGUACGAAAAGCGUGGGGGAUCAAACAGG